GAAUCUGGGAAAUGAGCAGAUUUAGUACUCUAGAAUCCCAAUAUCUGUGAAGUUCUUCAAAUGAAAAUUAUGAAAAUCUUUGCUGCGGUUCGGGGGAUAGGAAAGCUACCUGAACAACUGGCUGGUGAUCUUUCGAGGUCCUGCUCAAAAGAAUAUCAGUUGCAAUGGUCACACCUGUUUCAUCAUCUGACAAUGUUUGGAAAAUACACAUACCUUGACGAAUGACCAUUCCUCUAAGGUUCGCGGAUCAUCAGGCUUAUCUGACCCUGCAAAGUACGCCGCAGGUGACCUUGGCUCAAUGUUGUAUCUCCUGCAGAAUGGAAGCCAGUGCUUCGCGAAGGCGGAGGUCUCCCACAAGGCAUAGAAAGUGAGGAUCGAGCCCCCGUCGUCGGAGAGGUACACGUUCAGUUUCUCAGGUGGGUAAUUGUACGCCAUGAGCGAGAGGACCGUGGCCAUGACGAGGCUCGGCGGCUCCGAGUGCGGAUCUGCGGUGCAGACGAAGAUGUCUACGGAGGGUAGCCGGUCUCCGUACCUGCUCCAGAUUGCACGGUAUUCAUGUUGAUGCUUCAUGUUUACAUGCAUCUCAAUGAUGGCAUGAGCACGAUAGAUCGUCGCAUAUUAUAAUUUAAGGCUAGACCCUCUGGUGCACCAUUAA